rnacentral:rRNA from 1 species
UACGGAGGGAGCUAGCGUUAUUCGGAAUUACUGGGCGUAAAGCGCACGUAGGCGGCUUUGUAAGUUAGAGGUGAAAGCCUGGAGCUCAACUCCAGAACUGCCUUUAAGACUGCAUCGCUUGAAUCCAGGAGAGGUGAGUGGAAUUCCGAGUGUAGAGGUGAAAUUCGUAGAUAUUCGGAAGAACACCAGUGGCGAAGGCGGCUCUCUGGGACGGUACUGACGCUGAGACGCGAAAGCGUGGGGAGCGAACAGG